CCCACACCCAUUGUCAUAUCAAAUAUUUACGGAAACAAGCGAGAGAGCGUCCGAAACAAGUUCGGAUUCCGUCUUUAAGAUAUGUACGAGUAUGUGGAGUACUAUUUAUCUCUUUCGAAAGUGGAAAACUAUCCAGAGAACACCACAGUUUCACGGGGAAGUGUUUUGUUGGGAUCAAUAAAAGCCACAGAAGUCGGCGAACACAACUCAGUUGAAAACCGAAAAUGAAGAUCUUUUGUGUGGGCGCACUCGUAAUUCUUGGACUCUCUGGGGCCAUGGCAAAUAUUGGAGUAGGAUGGUCUUUCAAAAAGAAAUAAAAUGUUGCGUUCAAAAUAAAGUCAAACAGAUGCAUUUCAAGCAACGCGCACAAUAAA